rnacentral:lncRNA from 1 species
GUUAGAAGCUCCACCAAAAACCCCAAAUUAGAACCCUAGGUUUGCGAUGUCAGAGAUUUCAACGACCUCAAGUGGCACGAGACGGUAUUGCGCCUGUGUGAUAAAGAUAAUUCGUCGGACUUCGUGGACAGAUUUGAAACCGGGAAGAAGGUUUGAUGCUUGUGAUAAAAAUUGGGUAAGUUAUUAUUUGGGUUGCAAAAGUUGUUCUUUUCCAUUUGUAAUUGCUUGGUGAGGUCUGAAAUUGGGUAAGAUUUGAUUUCUAGAAUAGCAGAAGAGGUAUGCAUUUUUUCGAGUGGAUGGAUAAUGAAA